AGCCGCACUCGUAUAGAUGCGAUAAAUGAGAAUAGCGGAAUUCCUGGCCCUGUUGUAUCACCAUGUGAACUUUGAAAAUGGAUCCGCGAAUGAAAAUUUUGGAAAGUAUUCAAGAACCGUUACGGAAAGUAGAAAAAUACCGUGUUUCGCUGAUCGUACAAACUAUAUACGAAGAGAACUCUCUCGAAUACAUACAGUUCGAAGUGAUGUCAACGAAGAAGACGAACGUGUGAAUUGUAACCAGAGAAAGUCGAUCAAAUUUUAGAGAAUUUUGCAAAUUUUUACCCAAAAUUGUAAAUAGAACUAACUGUAUAGGUAAGUUGUUAAGACUGUGAUGAUUUAAACACAUUCUUCACUGUUUUUUUGGGAGGGGAGCUUCCUC